UGAACGCUGGCGGCGUGCCUAAUACAUGCAAGUCGAACGAGUUCUGAUUAUUGAAAGGUGCUUGCAUCUUGAUUUAAUUUUGAACGAGUGGCGGACGGGUGAGUAACACGUGGGUAACCUGCCCUUAAGUGGGGGAUAACAUUUGGAAACAGAUGCUAAUACCGCAUAAAUCCAAAAACCGCAUGGUUCUUGGCUGAAAGAUGGCGUAAGCUAUCGCUUUUGGAUGGACCCGCGGCGUAUUAGCUAGUUGGUGAGGUAACGGCUCACCAAGGCAAUGAUACGUAGCCGAACUGAGAGGUUGAUCGGCCACACUGGGACUGAGACACGGCCCAAACUCCUACGGGAGGCAGCAGUAGGGAAUCUUCCACAAUGGACGCAAGUCUGAUGGAGCAACGCCACGUGAGUGAAGAAGGCUUUCGGGUCGUAAAACUCUGUUGUUGGAGAAGAAUGGUCGGCAGAGUAACUGUUGUCGGCGUGACGGUAUCCAACCAGAAAGCCACGGCUAACUACGUGCCAGCAGCCGCGGUAAUACGUAGGUGGCAAGCGUUAUCCGGAUUUAUUGGGCGUAAAGCGAGCGCAGGCGGUUUUUUAAGUCUGAUGUGAAAGCCCUCGGCUUAACCGAGGAAGUGCAUCGGAAACUGGGAAACUUGAGUGCAGAAGAGGACAGUGGAACUCCAUGUGUAGCGGUGAAAUGCGUAGAUAUAUGGAAGAACACCAGUGGCGAAGGCGGCUGUCUGGUCUGUAACUGACGCUGAGGCUCGAAAGCAUGGGUAGCGAACAGGAUUAGAUACCCUGGUAGUCCAUGCCGUAAACGAUGAAUGCUAGGUGUUGGAGGGUUUCCGCCCUUCAGUGCCGCAGCUAACGCAUUAAGCAUUCCGCCUGGGGAGUACGACCGCAAGGUUGAAACUCAAAGGAAUUGACGGGGGCCCGCACAAGCGGUGGAGCAUGUGGUUUAAUUCGAAGCAACGCGAAGAACCUUACCAGGUCUUGACAUCUUUUGAUCACCUGAGAGAUCAGGUUUCCCCUUCGGGGGCAAAAUGACAGGUGGUGCAUGGUUGUCGUCAGCUCGUGUCGUGAGAUGUUGGGUUAAGUCCCGCAACGAGCGCAACCCUUAUGACUAGUUGCCAGCAUUUAGUUGGGCACUCUAGUAAGACUGCCGGUGACAAACCGGAGGAAGGUGGGGAUGACGUCAAAUCAUCAUGCCCCUUAUGACCUGGGCUACACACGUGCUACAAUGGAUGGUACAACGAGUUGCGAGACCGCGAGGUCAAGCUAAUCUCUUAAAGCCAUUCUCAGUUCGGACUGUAGGCUGCAACUCGCCUACACGAAGUCGGAAUCGCUAGUAAUCGCGGAUCAGCACGCCGCGGUGAAUACGUUCCCGGGCCUUGUACACACCGCCCGUCACACCAUGAGAGUUUGUAACACCCGAAGCCGGUGGCGUAACCCUUUUAGGGAGCGAGCCGUCUAAGGUGGGACAAAUGAUUAGGGUGA
rnacentral:rRNA from 1 species